rnacentral:rRNA from 1 species
GCGAAGCGCGUGCCAGAAGGCGGGGUAAGACGGAGGGUGCAAGCGUUGUCCGGAUUCACUGGGUUUAAAGGGUGCUUAGGCGGACUUUUAAGUCCGUGGUGAAAUCUCCGGGCUUAACCCGGAAACUGCCAUGGAUACUAAGAGUCUUGAAUGUUGUGGAGGUUAGCGGAAUAGUUCAUGUAGCGGUGAAAUGCAUAGAUAUGACCUAGAACACCAAGUGCGAAGGCAGCUGGCUACACAAAUAUUGACGCUGAGGCACGAAAGCGUGGGGAUCAAACAGGAUUAGAUACCCGAGUAGUC